UGAAAUGGGCGCCUCGGCGCUGGAACAUUUUCUGACAUUUUCUGCUCUGACGUCCUUUGGAAAAAUAGUCAUAACUUCUUCGUUCGAACUCUGAUUUUGAUGAUUCAAGAUGUUCCAAAAAGAGGAGACGUAGAUCUACAACUUACAUUCUUUAAGUUUUUCGAAAUAAGGUCCAGAAAAAUAUUCAAAUUGGCUCUGAAGUGACUGCUAUGUAAAUGGCAAGCCGAAAACGCGCAUCCAGCCACCCCAAACGUCGAUCCAAGUAACUUUUGUCCUAAUUCCUACAAAACAACAUAAAACAUGCAUGAAUAGACAUAAACACUUAAAAACAUCCAAAAGAUUAAGUUCAAACGCACUCAAUUAUGAGUAUAAAACUCACUCAUCAAAUACCCCCAAACUUAAACAUUU
rnacentral:lncRNA from 1 species